CUUGCUUCAUUAUCAUUAGUGGUCGCCGAGCUGUGUUGAUCUUAAGCCAAAUGUGGUGGAGUGUCCACACCACACUAAGUAAUAAUAGGAUGACAUUUAAAAAAACUGAGAAGGGAGCGUCUAGCAUUCACACAUUCAGGUGCAGAAAAUACACUAGAACAACUACACAUUGUUAAAGUGGGUUUCUUAAAAUCUCUAGCAUGUAUUAAUUCAUCAAUAACUGUUCUGAACACCAGAAUGAUAUCUAUAAAGUACAAAUGUUGUCUUUGGUGAACAAAAAUUCUGUCAUGGUCUCCGCUCCUCGUCAGCUGACAGCCGUCAGGUGUUUUGUUUUUGUUUACCUUUCUCUCUCACCUCUGCUCUCCCUUUCUCUCUCGCCCUCUUCCAUUCUCUCUUUCUCCUGCCGGGGCGGAGCUCAGUAUGGGCUCCUGCCCCUGGCCUACGCACCUGGAGGUGAUCAGCACAUCUGUCGCUGAUCAUGAAAGAUUGGAACCCUUCUUAAGAGGGCGAGUCUGCUCUACUCGUCGCUGGAUCGUUGAGUCAUCAGCAUUGCCUCUGGACUUGUUCUUCCCCUGUGCCUGGCGACUGAACGGGAGCAAGAGAGAUAAAGGAGAGGAGAUGUGCUAGGACUGAAUGGAAACUUUCCCUUCCUGGACUCCUGCCUCUUUCACUCCUGGACCCUGGAACCCCGGCCCCUUUUUCCUUUGACACUAUUAUGUGUAUAUAUGAAUUCCACUGUAGGAAACACUGUAAAUAAAUGCACCUUUUGAAGACA